rnacentral:rRNA from 1 species
AACGAACGCUGGCGGCAUGCCUAACACAUGCAAGUCGAACGAGACCUUCGGGUCUAGUGGCGCACGGGUGCGUAACGCGUGGGAAUCUGCCCUUCGGUUCGGAAUAACAGUUAGAAAUGACUGCUAAUACCGGAUGAUGACGUAAGUCCAAAGAUUUAUCGCCGAAGGAUGAGCCCGCGUAGGAUUAGGUAGUUGGUGGGGUAAUGGCCCACCAAGCCGACGAUCCUUAGCUGGUCUGAGAGGAUGAUCAGCCACACUGGGACUGAGACACGGCCCCGACUCAUACGGGAGGCAGCAGUGGGGAAUAUUGGACAAUGGGCGAAAGCCUGAUCCAGCAAUGCCGCGUGAGUGAUGAAGGCCUUAGGGUUGUAAAGCUCUUUUACCCGGGAUGAUAAUGACAGUACCGGGAGAAUAAGCCCCGGCUAACUCCGUGCCAGCAGCCGCGGUAA